GCGUCAGCAGCACAUAUUCUGAAUUUGGAAGGGAAGAUUAGCAUAUCCCCUGUGCAAGGAUGACAUGAAAAUACACGAGGUGUCACUGAUGGUA
rnacentral:snRNA from 1 species